AACUGUAGAAAGAAUAAGAAAUAUCCAAACCCAAAAACUUUUUUUUUUUUGUGAUAAUUAAGGAAAGUUGCUACAUAGCUCUGACGGUGGAGGUCGGUUCAGAAUUCAGUCUGCAAUGAUCUAAUGGUAACGACUCUGAGCGUACCCUCUCUGCGGUAGCCAUACUGGCGCCGACCACCGUCACCACCCCAAACUCCCUCACCUCUGCUCAUCACUUCGUGUCGAUCAAACUGACGACACGAAACUAUCUCUUCUAGCGUACCCAGGUUGCGCCAUUUCUCAAAAGCCAAGGCCUACUGGGCUACGUCGACGGCACCAUGCCAUGUCUGCUGGCGACGAUAAACUCUACAUCCGGCAACACUGGGAGCACGUCGGAUGAGGCCUCCUCCACUGCUGCUAAUCCGGCGUUCGCUAGCUGGGUCCAACAGGACUAGUCCAUCUUGUCGAUGCUGGUUGCGUCUCUCUCCGAGGAGGUAUGUACCUCGCCGUCGACCGCUCCACAGCGAGAGAGGUCUGGAGUUCCAUUGAAGCGGCCAUCAGUUCCUCCACCCGCGCACGUUGCCUGAAUCUUCUCGCACACUUCCAGUCGCUCCGGCUAGGCGAUUCCACACCGGCGAAAUAUCUCGGCCGCACCCAACUCCUCUUCGAAGACUUAGCCUUGGCGGGUCGCCCGGUCUCCCUCGACGAGAAAAACCUCUACGUGUUUAGAGGGCCCCGGCCAUAGUUCAGGGCCAUGGCGGCGUCGCUCGUCGUCUCAAGUAACCAGUGUCGACUACUGUUUUCCUUUGCAGUCUCACGGGGAUGGACUCUAUGGCAACUUGACGUCCAUAACGCGUUUCUGAACGGACACUUAGCUGAAACUGUGUUUAUGCGGCAGCCCCCCCAGCUACAAGGAUCUAGCUCAUCCCAAUCACGUGUGCCAUCUUCAGCGCUCCUUGUAUGGCCUCAAAUAAGCUCCCCCGGCGUGGUUCAAAAACCUUCAUGAUUUUUUACUUGCCACAGGUUUCUCGACUUCAAAGACUGAUGUAUCGGUAUUUCAAUAUUCGACCGGUUCAUCUAAGGUAUUUUUACUUGUCUAUGUUGACGAUAUUAUUAUGAUGGGGAUGAUCCUGCGCUGAUUGACACCCUGCUACAACGUCUGUUGACCGCUUAUAAGAUAAGGGAUCUAGAGGCUCUGGGAUUCUUCCUCAAUACUGAGACUUUAUUGGUUCAUGGAAGUUCGAUUCUAUCACAACGCCGCUAUGUGGGUGACUUAUUGAAAUGGGCUGGAAUGAUUGACUAUAAGCCCCUUACAACGCCCGUGUUCGUCACAAAGGUAGUUAUACCGACUGAUGAUAUUUUUGACAACCCGACACAGUAUAGACGCUUAGUUGGGCGCUCUAGUACUUGACUAUAACGCGCCCAAACCUAUCUUAUUCAGUGAACUGCUUAUGCCAGUUUAUGAAUGCACCUAUGGUUGAGCAUUGGGGUCUUCUAAAACGGGUCUUACGAUAUGUUAAUGGCACGAUGGAUUACGGACUGCGCAUGACCUCGUCACUUUCGGCUGCUAUUCACGCCUUCUCUGACUCAGAUUGGGCUAGGUGUCCUACUGAUCACAAGUCAACAAGUGGGUAUGUCGUCUUUCUUUGUUCCAACCUGGUUUCGUGGGUGUCACGCAAGCAGCGCACGGUGGCCCAUUCCUCCACUGAGACUGAGUAUACAGGGCUGGCUGACGUAUCUGCUGAGGUUACAUGUGUAGUCUCGUUACUACAAGAACUGGGAUUGUAUUCCAGCCGGCCAGCUACGCUCUGGUGUGACAAUCUCGGCGCGACCUAUAUACAUGUGCGCUAACCCGGUGUUUCACGCUAGAACCAAGCAUGUUGAAAUAGACUACCACUUCGUCCAUAAUAAGGUCGCUUCUGGGGACUUUCGGGUUAAUUUUGUGUCUACAAAGGAUCAGUUGGCUAACAUCUUCACCAAGCCGCUACCAUCGACUCGCUUCUCUGCUCUGCGGGACAAGCUCAAUGUUGUAGCCCUCCAACCUUGUACUUGAGGGGGUGUGUUAGACUGAGUAUUAGUUGUUAGUCCUGAGUCCUAGUCUUUAGCCUAUUGUCUAGAGUAGGAGUAUUGUAUUAUUAUUUGUAAACCAUUCUUUGUGUAAUUCAAUAAUAUUCAAACUCUCAUUUAAUGAAGGAAUAAAUUAAAAGGACGUUUAGAAGUUGGUUAUAACUUUCA